rnacentral:rRNA from 1 species
GUUUUCUUCGGAAAACGGAUUAGCGGCGGACGGGUGAGUAACACGUGGGCAACCUGCCUUAUAGAGGGGAAUAGCCUUCCGAAAGGAAGAUUAAUACCGCAUAAUAUUAUCGAGUGGCAUCACUUGAUAAUCAAAGGAGCAAUCCGCUAUAAGAUGGGCCCGCGUCGCAUUAGUUAGUUGGUGGGGUUAUGGCCUACCAAGACGACGAUGCGUAGCCGACCUAAGAGGGUGAUCGGCCACAUUGGGACUGAGACACGGCCCAGACUCCUACGGGAGGCAGCAGUGGGGAAUAUUGCACAAUGGAGGAAACUCUGAUGCAGCAACGCCGCGUGAGCGAUGAAGGUCUUCGGAUCGUAAAGCUCUGUCUUCGGGGAUGAUAAUGACAGUACCCGAGGAGGAAGCCACGGCUAACUACGUGCCAGCAGCCGCGGUAAUACGUAGGUGGCGAGCGUUAUCCGGAUUUAUCGGGCGUAAAGGGAGCGUAGGCGGAUGAUUAAAUGGGAUGUGAAAUUCUCGGGCUCAACCCGAGCGCUGCAUUCCAAACUGGUUAUCUAGGGUACAGGAGAGGAGAGUGGAAUUCCUAGUGUAGCGGUGAAAUGCGUAGAGAUUAGGAAGAACACCAGUGGCGAAGGCGACUCUCUGGACUGUAACUGACGCUGAGCUCGAAAGCGUGGGGAGCGAACAGGAUUAGAUACCCUGGUAGUCCACGCCGUGAACGAUGAAUA